CAUGUAAUGAUUAUUCUAUCUCGAUACCUUUUUCUAACGCGGCAAUAGCUGCCACCAAUAAAAACUAUUUCUAAAAAUAUCUCUGAAGAAAUGAAAUAAAAUUUUAAAGAGUAUAGUACAAAAUUUUUUACAUUAGCAGAAAUUAAGAGAAGGGGACUAAACUCAGGUGUAGAGUGCUCGCUGUGCAUGCGAGACGUUGGUUGUGGGUUCGAUUCCCAC
rnacentral:sRNA from 1 species